GAUGAACGCUGGCGGCGUGCCUAAUACAUGCAAGUCGAGCGAACAGACGAGGAGCUUGCUCCUCUGACGUUAGCGGCGGACGGGUGAGUAACACGUGGAUAACCUACCUAUAAGACUGGGAUAACUUCGGGAAACCGGGGCUAAUACCGGAUAAUAUAUUGAACCGCAUGGUUCAAUAGUGAAAGACGGUUUUGCUGUCACUUAUAGAUGUAUCCGCGCCGCAUUAGCUAGUUGGUAAGGUAACGGCUUACCAAGGCAACGAUGCGUAGCCGACCUGAGAGGGUGAUCGGCCACACUGGAACUGAGACACGGUCCAGACUCCUACGGGAGGCAGCAGUAGGGAAUCUUCCGCAAUGGGCGAAAGCCUGACGGAGCAACGCCGCGUGAGUGAUGAAGGUCUUCGGAUCGUAAAACUCUGUUAUUAGGGAAGAACAAAUGUGUAAGUAACUAUGCACGUCUUGACAGUACCUAAUCAGAAAGCCACGGCUAACUACGUG
rnacentral:rRNA from 1 species